rnacentral:misc_RNA from 1 species
AAGCUUAUAGAGAGUGAUUUUAAGGAGUCACAGAUAUAGGUGGUGCUUACAUAGUCGUCUAAAUUUUUUUAUGGGUUGUGAUUGCAAAAUUAAAAAAACACACAAAAAGAAAUUUGAAUGCGAAAGCUGUAAGUUUUUUUAUAAGUUCUCAAAAUAGAAAUCAAGAAUAUUCUAAGAUGAGCGGCUAGAAAAGAAAAUUAACGCGAUACUCAAAAAAAAUGAAAAAAAAGUUUUAAAAGGGCUUUUUUUCAAUAAGUGAUAUGGUUAUAAGAGACUUAUGACUGAAGUGUUAGUGUUUAUCAGAGAUAGAGACACUGAUGAAGUUAUAG